ACGAACGCUGGCGGCAUGCCUUACACAUGCAAGUCGAACGGUAACAGGUCUUCGGAUGCUGACGAGUGGCGAACGGGUGAGUAAUACAUCGGAACGUGCCCGAUCGUGGGGGAUAACGCAGCGAAAGCUGUGCUAAUACCGCAUACGAUCUACGGAUGAAAGCGGGGGAUCGCAAGACCUCGCGCGAUUGGAGCGGCCGAUAUCAGAUUAGCUAGUUGGUGGGGUAAAAGCUCACCAAGGCGACGAUCUGUAGCUGGUCUGAGAGGACGACCAGCCACACUGGAACUGAGACACGGUCCAGACUCCUACGGGAGGCAGCAGUGGGGAAUUUUGGACAAUGGGCGCAAGCCUGAUCCAGCAAUGCCGCGUGCAGGAUGAAGGCCUUCGGGUUGUAAACUGCUUUUGUACGGAACGAAACGGUGAGCUCUAAUAAAGCUUGCUAAUGACGGUACCGUAAGAAUAAGCACCGGCUAACUACGUG
rnacentral:rRNA from 1 species